UCUGGCAACACGAGCGAAAAACACUUACAUGUUAACGAGGGGAAAGAAAAUACCACCAGAGCGUCUUUUUUUUUCUUCUUGUUGAUCUUCUUUUUACAUCGUAAUUCCACCGUACGUAACGCCGUGUCCCGAGAAUCUUUCGUUUCUUCUCACUUGGAUAGAUCAAAAAUAAUCACGUACUCUUAUCGCUUAAAUUCGCGCAAAUGAAACCACAAUGAGAAAGAGGGAAUAUAUAAAAAAAAAAAAAAAAAAAAAAAGAAGAAAAAAUAGGUCAUAGCAUAAGUAACGCCGCGUUUUGACUCUAACUUUCAAUGAGAAAAAUUAAUACUUCCGUUUAAUCAUCGAUGUAUGCAUUUACCUACUAUUUCCUUAGCAGUCUAAGGAGGUUCUACUUCAAUCACAGCCUUUAAUGUUUCGACUUCGAACGUUACUUUUCGGCCGGACCUGUGUUCAUUAGAAAAUUCAAAAACGCCGUACGAAAAUUUCUGAAACCAGUUUUGACAUUUUCUCACAUUUAAAACGUAUUCACCGUAUACUUUACAAACGCUUUUAACAGUAUCCUUAGUCGCACUGCCUUUUUUAAGUUUGCAUAGCGUGCAAUGCUGCAAAUGGUUUUCGCUGACAUUCAUCUUAUAACUUCCUUUAAUGUGAAAGAUAUCGAUCUAAUUGUUUCAAUAAUCAGAGAAAAACAGAGGGAGAAGUUCCUAUAAAAACAUCUCAGCGAAACAUGAUACGCAUGUUUAUCUAAAGUAAGAUAAGAAACGAUAUUACUUAUGAUAUGACCUACUAUUUAUUUACAUCUAAACGAAGUGCUGCAUAUUUUACAUUGAGUGGAAAGACGCGUUCUCUUAUUAUUACUUUAUAAUGUAUACUACUUUAUUAUUUAUUGUUUAUUCUUAUUUAUAAUAAAUGUGAAGUUAUUAUUUGACAAAAUUAAAAAUAUAGUUACUUUCAAUAGAUUUUAUUACAUAUAUUAACUCAUAUGUACAUAUGUGUACAUAUGUUUGUUAUUAUCUUUAUAACAAAAAAAAAAAAAAAAGUAUACAUCAUUAAGUAUGAACUUCUGUUUUGGUACAGUUAGUAAAAUCUGUAAAUACUAAGUGCUUCUACAUGUAAUAACAUGUGGCAAUUAUAAAUCUGCAUUUUUAUUGUAUACACCAUCUUGUAAGCUAUACUGUUUUACUGUUUAUAAUACUGUUUAUGCUCUAUUUCUAUCAAUUCACACAUACAAUUAUAACUAAUAUUCCUAUACACUUUCAAAUUAUGCUCAGCUAAAUUAUCAGAACCAUAUAUAUAUAU